rnacentral:rRNA from 1 species
AUUGAACGCUGGCGGAAUGCUUUACACAUGCAAGUCGAGCGGCAGCACGGGGGCAACCCUGGUGGCGAGCGGCGAACGGGUGAGUAAUACAUCGGAACAUGCCCAGUCGUGGGGGAUAACACUUCGAAAGAAGUGCUAAUACCGCAUACGUCCUGAGGGAGAAAGCGGGGGAUCUUCGGACCUCGCGCGAUUAGAGUGGCCGAUGUCAGAUUAGCUAGUUGGUGGGGUAAAGGUCUACCAAGGCAACGAUCUGUAGCUGGUCUGAGAGGAUGAUCCACCACACUGGGACUGAGAUACGGCCCAGCCUCCUACGGGAGGCAGCAAUGGUGAAUUUUGGACAAUGGGGGCAACCCUGAUCCAGCCAUUCCGCGUGAGUGAAAAAGGCCUUCGGGUUGUAAAGCUCUUUCGGCAGGAACGAAACGGCGAGCUCUAACAUAGCUUGCUAAUGACGGUACCUGAAGAAGAAGCACCGGCUAACUACGUGCCAGCCGCCGCAGUAACAC